rnacentral:tRNA from 1 species
UCCUCGAUGGUCUAAGGGCUUAGGACGCUUGCCCAAAAAGCAAGAGAUCCGGGUUCGACUCCCGACCGAGGUA